rnacentral:rRNA from 1 species
CAGUCGCCACGGGAAUACGGAGGGUGCAAGCGUUAUCCGGAUUUAUUGGGUUUAAAGGGUCCGUAGGCGGAUCUGUAAGUCAGUGGUGAAAUCUCACAGCUUAACUGUGAAACUGCCAUUGAUACUGCAGGUCUUGAGUAAAUUUGAAGUGGCUGGAAUAAGUAGUGUAGCGGUGAAAUGCAUAGAUAUUACUUAGAACACCAAUUGCGAAGGCAGGUCACUAAGAUUUAACUGACGCUGAUGGACGAAAGCGUGGGGAGCGAACAGGAUUAGAUACCCCCGAGUCCCUGUCUCUUAUACA